UUUUUCUCAAAAGGUCGGCAUGGCUUGCAGGCAAAAGCUGGAGAGAUCUACCUACUCUUGCCUUUUCCAGAGAAGAGCUGGAGGAAACCACUAAAAGCUUCUGCUCUUUCCUGUGUAAUGCAUGGGUGAGCAGUCCAAAGUGUCCAAAUGAUGGGAUCAGGGGAAGGAUGAAAUUAACUGCACAUCUGGAUAUACAGUUAGCCCAUCUCAAAGUUCCUUUUGUUCCAAAAACAGUGAUGUCAUGUGUGGCAAACACCUGGAAAUCUCUGGAGCUCGUGUCACAGUGUGUUUAGAUGAGACGUAUGGAUGUGUACUGGCUGAAAGCCCUCAGCAUAGCAGGAGAUGACCUAUUUGUUCGAGCUGAUUAAUGUCCCUGCCUGCU